rnacentral:rRNA from 1 species
UAGAUACCCUAUUAUUUUAGAUUUAAAAUUUUUAACUUGAGUAGUAUUAGGUAUGGUCUUGAAACUUAAAGAAUUUGGCGGUAUUUUAGUCUAGUUAGAGGAAUCUGUUUCAUUAUCGAUAAUCCACGAUGAACCUUACUUAAUUUAAUUUAAUAUGUAUACCGCCGUUUAUUUGAAGAUCUUUUUAGGGUUAAUUUUCCUAAAAUUGUAGUUAAUUUUAUUUCAGGUCAAGGUGCAGUAGAUAAUUAAGUGAUAAUGGAUUACACUAUUUAUAAGAUAUACGGAUUAAUAUUUUAAAAUAUUUUAUGAAGGGGGAUUUAAUAGUAAUUAAUAACAAGAAUUGUUUUUAUGAUUAUAGCUCUAGGAUGUGCACACAUCGCCCGUCACUCUCGUUAUAUUAAGAUGAGAUAAGUC